UCCUGUUGUCAAACCUUCACACGAUACAAUGCAGAAAGGUUUGACAUUACAAUGAAGAUCAGACAUUGGUCAAUGUUUUUGUUUUACACCAACUUCACGGAGACGCCUCAGCAGAGAAAUUAUGGGAAUCCUCAUGCCAACACAUCAGACCAACAGCUACAGGAUGGGAAUGAUGCCAUAAACUAUGCUGCCCUGAAGUUCACUGACAAGAAUAGUACCAGGCCAGGAGACAGAGGAGAGAAUGGAGAGAACAGAGAGAGGAAGAAACCAUCUACUCGGGUGUGAGUCAUCAAGACAGGGUGUAACAGAGUUGGGUCAUCCAAUCAGCAUCAUUCUAAGUUAAGCCCCAUCCCUCCUCUGAACUCCAAUUUGAUCUUGACAUUGUCCUUGUGACCUCGCUAUUUUGUACACUUCUGAUUUACCGUAGGAUGUCAUUGCAGGGGCCUAAUUUUGCUGAAUAUAUACAGUACCAGUCAAACGUUUGGACACAACUACUCAUUCAAUGGUUUUUCUUUAUUUUUACUCUUUUCUACAUUGUAGAAUAAUAGUGAAGACAUCAAAACCAGCUCUAACCAAAAGAAUGUUAAACAAAUAAAAAUAUAUUUUAUAUUUGAGAUUCUUCAAAGUAGCCACCCAGUAUCUACCGCUGCUGUCUCUAGAGAGUUGAAAACAGCAGGUCUGGGACAGGUAGCACGUUCAGUGAACAGGUCAGGAUCCCAUAGCCACGGGCAGAGCAGUUGAAACUGGAGCAGCAGCAAGACCAGGUGGACUGGGGACAGCAAGGAAUCAUCAGGCCAGUUAGUCCUGCUACAGAGAGAAAAGAAAGAAAGAAAGAAAGAAAGAAAGAGAGGAAGAAAGAGAGAAAGAGAGAGAAAAAGAGAGAGAGAAUUAGAGAGAGCAUGCUUAAAUUCACACAGGACACAAGAUAAGACAGGGAGAAAUACUCCAAAUAUUACAGACUGACCCUAGCCACCUGAUACAUAAACUAUUGCAGCAUAAAUACUGGAGGCUGAGACAGGAGGGGUUGGGAGACACUGUGGCCCCGUCCGACGAUACCCCCGGACAGGGUCAAACAGGACAUAUGUACCAGUAGUCUCAGCCACCGACCCAAAUGAUGAAAAAAUACAAACCAUUAACUCUGACUUUAUAGUAUUUUAAGACAUACAGUGCAUUCGGGAAGUAUUCAGACCCCUUGACUUUUUCCACAUUUUGUUACAUUACAUUCUUAUUAAAAAUGUAUUUUAAUAUGUUUUUUCCUCAUCAAUCUAAACACAAUACCCCAUAAUGACAAAGUGAAAACCGGUUUUUGGAAGAAAAUAAAGAAAUCUUACAAAUAAAAAGCUGUGAUACAUUAUUUACAUAAUUAUUCAGACCCUUUGCCAUGAGACUUGAAAUUGAGCUCAGGUCCAUCCUGUUUCAUUGAGAUGUUUCUAGAAAUUGAUUGGAGUCCACCUGUGGUAAAUGCAAUUGAUUGGGCAUGAUUUGGAAAGGCACACACCUGUCUAUAAAAAGGUCCCACAGUUGACAGUGCAGAGCAAAAAUCUAGCCAUGAGGUCGAAGGAAUUGUCCGUAGAGCUACGAGACAGGAUUGUGUCGAGGAACAGAUCUGGGGAAUGGUACCAAAAUAUUUCUGCAGCAUUGAAGGUCCCCAAGAACACAGUGGCCUCCAUCAGUCUUAAAUGGAAAAUGUUUAGAACCCCCAAGACUCUUCCUAGAGCUGAGCAAUCUGGGGAGAAGGGCCUUGGUCAGGGAGGUUGUCACUCAACCCGAUGGUCACUUUGACAGAGCUCCAGAAUUCCUCUGUGGAGAUGGGAGAAGCUUCCAGAAGGACAACCAUCUCUGCAGCAGUCUACCCAUUAGGCCUUUAUCAUAGAGUGGCCAGACAGAAGCCACUCCCCAGUAAAAUGCACGACAGCCCGCUUGGUUUGCCAAGAGACACCGAAAGGACUCUCACCAUGAGAAACAAGAUUCUCUGGUCUGAUGAAACCAAGAUUGUCUUAACAAGAGAUGGUCACGGUUGUUUUAUACAGGUAUCCUUGAUUUAGUUGUGUACUGUUAGCUAGCUAGCUAACGUUAUCUGGCUGGAUUCCUAGCAUUGGAAGUUUAAGACCAUGUUUAACCAUUGUUCUCUCUCUUACCUCUGGUCUUAGAUGUUCAUGGUUGUUUUAUACAGGUAUCCUUGAUUUAGUUGGCGUGGGCUACGGCCAAACAGUUGCCUGUGGUGAGUUGGGUUAAUACACCAGGAAUUGGUGAACACAACGCUCUGUCUGGACAAUUGUUAAUUUAUGAUCUACCCGGGUCAUUACAGUACGUUGUUACUUAUUCUGAUGUUAUGUUAGUUCACAACUGCAUUUACUAUUUUUGCAGUCAGGAUCCAGCAAGUCUAUUUGACAGCAGUCUGUGUCUGAGUCAGUCCAGUGAGGAGACUCUGUGAAUAUGAACUGUACAAUACACACUGAGACCUGUCCAGGAGAAUGGAAAUCCUGAAUGAGAGAUCACUAAAGACUACUGUAUUGUGUUUGCUGUGUUUUUUCCAUAUAUUGUACGUUUUUGGUGAGGUGAAGUGACUGUAUGGUAAUAGAAGCCCUAGUGGAUGACAGUGUCAUAUCAUACAUGUUCCAAAUGUGACUCACCACCUGGAUUCGGUUUUAGGAUUCGGUUUUAGGUAGCAAAAUGUGAAAUGUUGUUUUUUACAUUGGAUAAGAGUAGAUACUCAGAGCUACAAAAUUGUAUAUCAUACACUGCAUUUGAGGAACAAUGGGAAAGUAAUUAUUCUUUGAAAGUUGAUAAACUUGUAAAUUCACUUUUGAGAAAAUCGCCUUUGAAUGUUUUGAUAUCUAGUGAAGCUCUUUUUUGUCUACACCCAUUCAGCAUCGUUCACACUCUCUUAAGCUUUAGUCCCACCCAUUCGUUUUGCUCUUGGAGCGCACACUUGACACUCUGGCCGAUGAUUUGUUUAGUUUUGGAUGACAUGAAAACAGCCUAACCAGCUCUGCUGGCAACAAUUUCAUUACGCUUUUUUGCAGAUGUUUACUGACACCGGCCAUAUACAACGGGUGUCGUAGACACUUCACGUAACGUUAGCUAACGAGACAGCCAGCUAACGUUAGCUAGUUAAACAACAAUGAACAAAGUGCAAACACGGCCUAACUUUAGUCUCUAACUAGAAAAGCAAACAGCUCUGGGAAAUGAAUAAUAAAGUUUGCUACACAGAGCUGUGUCUACAACCUACCCAAGAGGAACUUCAGACUCUCUGAUGCAGGGACUUACUACUGUGCUGUGGCCUCAUGUUAUACAGUGAUACUGUUUGAAAACUUUUCUCAAGGCACACCUGUUAAUUGAAAUGCAUUCCAGGUGACUACCUCAUGAAGCUGGUUGAGAGAAUGCCAAGAGUGUGCAAAGCUGUCAUCAAUCAAAGGGUGGCUACUUUUAAGAAUCUAAAAUAUAAGAUAUAUUUAGAUUUAUUUAACACUGUUUUGGUUACUACAUGAAUACAUAUAUGUUAUUUCAUAGUUUUGAUGUAGAAAAUGUAGAAAAUAAUAAAAAAGAAAGAAAAACCCUUGAAUGAGUAGGUGUGUCAAAACCUUUGACUGGUACCGUUUAUUUAAGGGAUAAUGAACGAGGGGCUAUGCGUUCAGUGGAAAAUAAUGAAUGACGUGGAAGGUGUGGUCCACAAUGUGCUAGCUCAUAGAUAAUAUAUAAUAUAUAUAUAUAUACAUACAUACAUACAGUGGGGAGAACAAGUAUUUGAUACACUGCCCAUUUUGCAGGUUUUCCUACUUACAAAGCAUGUAGAGGUCUGUAAUUUUUUAUCAUAGGUACACUUCAACUGUGAGAGACGGAAUCUAAAAAUCAAAAAUCCAGAAAAUCACAUUGUAUGAUUUUUAAGUAAUUCAUUUGUAUUUUAUUGCAAAGUAUCCUUCCUGAAUUGACUGGAAUUGAAAUGGAAUUGACCCCACCCUUGACUGUAAGGUAACUGAAAUUGUCCUCUACAUUAGCACAACUCCCAUACUGUAACGCCUAUGCAAAUAAGAAUGCAAAUUGAUUAUUUUAUGUCUAAAUCUUAGCAAAAAGUGAGCCCUUUAUCUCUAAACGGUUUACACUGUGGGCAGAUAUUUCCCUCUCCAACUAUGUUCUCUGUCCUGUUAGUUCCAGACAUGUCCAUGCAUCUGAAUGUAUCUCAGCCUGUGAGGACAGAACCAGUGACCCUGGGGGGGUUCUGUGAACCUUGAAUGUUUCUCCACAUUAGACUCAGUGUUAUCCUGGUAAUGGCUGAAACACACCCAAGGACAUGGUCUUUUACCCAUUGUAACAACCUACUAUUAAAAAGUGCAAUUUCAUGUUGCAAAGGAUUAAAUAAACUUUCAUCUGAAACUUUGCCCUCA